GAUGAAGAACGUAGCGAAAUGCGAUAGGUAGUGUGAAUUGCAGAUGUAACGUGAAUCAUCGAAUCUUUGAACGCAAAUUGCACUCUCUGGUAUUCCGGGGAGUAUGCCUGUUUGAGGGUCGCCAAAUCAACAUCGAAAUUCAUUUGCUUUUGUAAAUGUUUAUCGGAUUUGAGCCGUCUUUUUUUAUCUUGUUAAUCAAAGUGGCUUAAAAUGUAUUUUUUUUGGUAUCGAAAAACGUUAUUUUACGAUCAAAUUGAUUAAAAAACAAACGUUUCGAAUGCCGCCUUUUAGUGUAAUACGUUUGACUGUGAUGGUUAAUCAUAGUUUCAUUCGUAUACGAUUUUUUAAUUUUUGACCUCAAAUCAGGUAAGAACACCCGCUGAACUUAAGCAUAUCAAUAAGCGGAGGA
rnacentral:misc_RNA from 1 species